ACUACCGGCUUUGCUAAAUCCGUAGUGGAAAGUAGACACGGUGGCAAUGUCGUAAUUACGUUGAAAUUUGUUUUAAUUGUAUUUCACUACCGAUUUGGUAUUCACCGGUAGUGGAAUGUUCAUUAAUUAAUUAAUUUGUUCAUUCCUCUUCAUUCAUCCCUUAUGCGAAGCCCCAAAUCGCCAAAUCCCUAAAAAUCCCAAAGCGCCAUCUUCAUUGAAUCCAAUCAUUCCCAAUUUCUUCAAUCAUUCUCCAAUCUCUUCGUUUUGAUUCGGUUUCAUUCUCCAAACCCUAGACGGCCGACCCCUUUUUCAUUCGUUGUCAACGAUUUCAUCCCGUCCUCGAUUCCCUUUUGUUCGCCGUCAACGAUUCCCUUCCAUCAACCUUCAGUUCUCAUCACCGUUGAACUCAAGCCGCCGUUUCUUCGAUUCUCAUCAUAAACCCAGUCGCUGUUUCACAUAGAUUGAUUUGAGAUGUUUACAUGGGAUGGUUUGUGGUAGUAGGCUCAGUGUGGAGGUGGUGUCGAUUUUAUGCCUCCAAAAGCUUAUGUAGUCCGCUCUGCUAUUUUUCUUGUUUUUUCUGCGUUUUUCCUUGUCUUUGGCUGUGAGAUUUGGUUCUCUGCUUUCCUGACUGUGUGAUUUGGUUCCCUGCAUUUUUUGUUUUCGUGGCUACAUCUACUGUGUUUACUUUUGUGGAUUUUAGAUCAUAAAUAGAUUAGUCUAUAGCUUGGAGACAUAAGUUCUUAUUUGCAUCAAGUUUAUGUGUGAUUGCAGGGUGUGCUCACUAGAUUUAUGAACUCCAAAUUGUAUGCCAUUAGCAGUUCUGAAGGAUUUGCUUGUACAAAGUUUAUAGUACUUGCUUGAUUUCUAAUUAAUAAAAAGCAAAGUUAUGACAAGUUAUUCUACUACCUCUUAUAAUUCUGAGCAUCUAGUAGUGUGUUGCUACAGAUUUCAGGUACAGAUUGGUAUUGAAGGUUUGUGUUUGAUGAAGAUUGAGAAAGAUUGCAAAAAAUAUAGGCUCAUGGUGCAUUGAUGAUAGUGUAUAUAAGAGGUAUGAUUUUUUUUUUCCUUAUUAUAUCCUUGGGCAUGUUGUAUGUGUGUAGGCCAUUUAACAUUUCUACAUAUUCAUCAUGCAUGAUUAAUAUUCUGUGAUAAUGUGUUGUACUAACCUAGCUAAUAAUGUUGAUAUGCAAAAUUAUAAUUAAGAACAACACUGUGUCCAGCAAAUUGUUAAGAUUUUAUGCUUCUUAGCUAAGUAAUGUAGACAUUAUAAGCCUUAGAACUCAACCAUUCCCUAUCUAAGAAUAUCUAAGUUGUUUUGUCUCAAAUGAUGAAUUAAGAGUUGAUGAUGCAUUUGUUUCUUGACUCUACUGAAUUAAGUUUUUUUGGGAUUGUUCUGCAUAAUUGCAGUAGUAUUACUAUUAGGAUUUGUGUUUGGUGUAAUUUUUACAUUCACAUCCAAUAGAAAAUUUACUAUUUUGCUAUAUGAUCCAUUUCCUUACAAUAUAUACUCAUUGAAUCACUACUUGUAUUUGUAUGUUGCUGCAUACUCAUUGAAUGCACAGGAAGCAACAAAAAAACGAAAAAAUAUAAAAAUAAAACUAACAUACCACUACUGAUAUUUAUAAUAA